ensembl:piRNA 21ur-14596 ncRNA
UUAAUUCACUUGAUUUUCAAA